AAGCUGUUAUGUGGGUAGUCUCUUAUCAGCCUCUUAAACCUCGCCCAAGCAUCCCUGAGCGAUUCUUCAGUUUCCUGUUCAAAAUUCGUUAUUAUAUUUCUUCUCCU